ensembl:lncRNA
GCACGUAGGUUUUGGGGCAUGUGUUACAGAAGUCUUGGAGGGUCUCAGCAGCAUUGUGCUCCUGGCAUUUGUUAGGCAAUCUGCUCAGCAAUGCACCCUUAUGUGAUUUUUUCUUUUCCCCACUUCCUCACUGGUGCCUUCUGGGACCACUUCUCAAAUUGACUGCCUAUAGCUUUAUCUUAAGGUUUGCUUUUGGGGGAAACAUAAGAUGCUAUUACACAGCCAUAAACUUUUUUUUGACUCUGUGUAUAGUGGAACCAGUUUCCAUCAAUUUUUUAAAAAUUACCUUAUUAUUUAUUUUUGGUUGCCCUGGGUCUUUGUGGCUGAGUGCGGGCUUUCUCUAAUUGUGAAAUUGCUGAUAUUCCUUUGGGAGAACUAAAUAAAGACACUAUUAAGAGGAACAUUAAGAAACCUGACAAAUGAGAACAACAGACAGCAGAAGUCAGCACAUGUUCAAAGGAAAGUUACUACAACCUCUGUCAUUGCAUUUUCAAAAAAUCCCCUUCUCAGAUGAUUAGUACAAUGCUC